UUCCAAAGUGUUGAGUUCAGUUCAGGGCCACUUCCCUGGUCUGUUAAUUAAACUUUGGGACAUUGAAAUGGGCUACAGGUGAUGAUUGAAUAAAAAAUAUAUAUCGAGUUCAUCUCUGAGCCUACAGAA
ensembl:snoRNA